CGCACUUAUAAUCACAUUAACCAUGAACCCGUACAAUAAGUUUCAAGAUAUGGUUUUAAAGCAAUGGUUGGUCAUGGAUGAUGCACUUUUCCAAGCAUGUGGGUUUUGUCUAGUUGCGGCAUCUGAUGACCAGUCGGUGUUUAUCACUUGGGACAAGUAUUAUUUGCUAAACAUACGCUUUAAGAUGCCAGAGGACAGCUGCAGGAUAAAAAUGACUGCUGUGCGAAUUCCUGUGCCUAAAAGUGGAGGAGGCUAUAUUAGGAGUGUGCAUGCUUUGAGGCCCUGAAUCUUAUAAAAUGGCUCAAUGCAGUUCGUUGUUUAGCUAUAGUCGAUGUGGGAUUCAGCGUGAUUCGAAUAGAGAAUCGCCGACUGCUGCUGCAGACGUAUGUUGAUCUUCCUGAUUGGGAAAAGGACAAGUGUACACUGCAACAUUCAUUUGACAUAACUUUUGACCAGGAGAACAUAUUUCAGAGCGACUGGCAGCAUAACGAAUACACUCUGACAACUUUAAAAGUGACCGAAAAGGAAGAAGAGUUCGCACGAACUCUUUUCGGCACAAGAGCGGCAGAACAAAAUUAUAUUCACAUAUUCAGCAUAGGUGGACAUGUAUUUGCGUUGGCUUAUAAUUACAAAACAACAUCAGAUAGUACCGGUCCUGACUAUAAUAUCGAGCUCCUGUGCAUUUAUGCAGCGCACGUUAAAUUCAUUAAACUGCUACCAAUGGAGAACCUUUGUUUGAUUUUUCUCGGCUCUGGCAGUAUAGACAUGUGGUACACGUCCAGGCUCCUUUCUAUAAAACAGCGUCAAAUUUUUCACACAGGUGCUGAAUGGCUGGACUACGAUGCAACAAGUGCCAAUGGCGACGUCUAUUACACAGACGGGAACCAGCUAGUGCGACUGCGAUUCAAAUACAACGCCCAGCUUGACGAGUGUUUUGUCUACACCUUGACGAAGCCAGUCUCCGGGAUAUACGCAUGCUGUUGGAUAGACCAAAAAGAAGAAUUGUUCUGCCUGAGCGACAACAACACACUUUAUUGCAUUUCUUUUGGGAUGUCCGAAAUGAACGAUCAAACGCUGAGAAUUUCAACGCCGAACUUUGCACCAUCAGCUUUGAUGAGACUGCAGCACAAUGCCGAAGCCUUGCAGGAAUAUAAAAAACAUCCUGAUUCACUAAGGCAAAAAUUAUAUAGGGAGUAUAAGCAACAGCAGCUUAUAUCUAUGAGUAAAAAUAUCCGGAGAGUAAAUGCGGCCAUUAAAACCUCACUGGAAUACCACCUUCAAGUACCUAUUGAUAUUGUCAGGGAUAAUGUUCUUCUACAGGCAGCGCAGAGUCUAGAUCUUGAUCAGAAAAGCUGUAUAUACGCUGUGCUUAACGUCAGACUUAUCGAUAGCCGGCCCCUAUUGCAGGGGACAUUUUGGAAGCUUUUGAUAUGCUAUGACAACCGCAUCAAUGUCCUCCUACUGCCCACAGAAGUACUUGUUAAUAAAAAAUGUUGCGUGGUUAUAGCGUUAAGUAAAAUGAAAAACGAGCAUCUGCCUCAUUUUAAAAUCCAGCUUCUGCAACUUGUGGAACUUAAUGAGCAAUCAUGUGCUGUACUUUUUCAGGUACCGGUAGAAAGUUGUGGAAAUACAUUCCGAGCAAUUUUCAGUGGAAGAAUAGUACCUGCGAAAUACAGGUUGAACAAUAAGCAAUUUAUGGAAAGGAAACCAAGUAUACCAAAAAUCAGGCAGGUCAGCAGUCUUGGAAGUCAAUUCACUUUUCCCAAUAUAGCGGAUCUAUUUUGCAAUGCCGUCUCCAUUCACAAUGACUAUUGUAAAUUGCAUUUUAUAAACGAAAAGUUGCAAUUCCAUUUAAAUGGAAUGUUGGAAAGUAAAGAUGCUUCAGCGAUUUACUAUUUUAAGCAACAUAUUAUUCUAAACUCGGAUCAACUGGAAUCUGCAUCCAAAAAUUAUGACAUGACCUUUCAUACAAUAAUGAGCGACGUUGACCGAUUUCGGUACCGACAAUGUAACGACAUCUUGGCCCCUGGAACAAAUUUUUCCGUUUUAAAGUCAAAAUAUAAUAUCAUUAGAAAUGACAUUCAUUAAGAAUUUUGCGUACAUCGAAACUAUUCAAUAACCUUUUACGCUCACUUUUCUUAUUUAUACCCUAUAGUUAGAUAAACUAAAUCUAAAUCUAAUAAACUAAAUCUAAUCU
ensembl:ncRNA lncRNA:CR46268 long non-coding RNA:CR46268